CCAAUAGCGUAUAUUAAAGUUGUUGCAGUUAAAAAGCUCGUAGUUGAAUUUCGGGAUCAGUACGCUGGUCGUGCCUUCGGUAUGUACUGGUGUUACUGGUUCCUACCUUCUGACGAACCGUCAUGUCAUUAAUUUGGUGUGGCGGGAAAUCAGGACUGUUACUUUGAAAAAAUUAGAGUGUUUAAAGCAGGCUCGCGCUUGAAUACAUUAGCAUGAAAUAAUGAAAUAGGACGUUCGAUCCUAUUUUGUUGGUUUCUAGGAUUGACGUAAUGAUUAAUAGGGAUAGUUGGGUGCAUUAGUAUUCAAUUGUCAGAGGUGAAAUUCUUGGAUUUAUUGAAGACUAACUACUGCGAAAGCAUUUGCCAAGGAUGUUUUCAUUAAUCAAGAACGAAAGUUAGGGGAUCGAAGACGAUCAGAUACCGUCGUAGUCUUAACCAUAAACUAUGCCGACUAGGGAUCGGAUGAUGUUAAUUUUUUAAUGACUCAUUCGGCGCCUUACG
rnacentral:misc_RNA from 1 species